UACGCCUCUCUUUUUCGAUUCCCCUCUUUCCACUCUCAUCUCCUUCUUCUUCUUCUUCCUUUUUUUCUAGACUCUUCUACAUCUUGAUCCUCAUCGUUCUUGUCUUUUUCUUCAUACAUUCUUUUUUCUUUUUUGUUCCCCUAAGUCAAAAGCUUUUAAGUCGUAUUCAACAGUGGUAGUUAUGACCAACUCAGCUGGCUUUGAUGAACUGACAGCGUGAGAUUUGUGAAUGCGAGAAACAGAGGCUCAUUCAACGUAACAUCCCUGAAAGUUGGUCGAGCUUGCCGUCGAUGUCACCGUGAUAGCGUCCGCUGCCGAUGUAACUGUGAUAGUGGCCGCCUCCGUGACAGCAACACCAAUAACUCAUAUUUUUUUCAAAACCCUAACUUCUAAUUGCGCUAGACUGUUAAUUGUAUGUUGGGCUCUUGUUAAAAUCCUAAUGUUUAAGUGGGCUGAACUAUAUGUGGGCUUUUGUUAGUUGUAUUUUAGUGGAUUUUGAUUUGUUAUUGAGUUCAAAAUUUAUCUUCAAAUAUGUAAACCGAGAAAAAACCGAAAUAACCGAAGUAAAAAUAUUUUCGGUUCAAUUUC